rnacentral:rRNA from 1 species
AGAGUUUGAUCCUGGCUCAGGAUGAACGCUGGCGGCGUGCAUAACACAUUCAAGUCGAAACCGGUGAAAUGACUUCGGUCAUGGAACAGUGGCGGACGGGUGAGUAACGCGUGAAUAACCUGCCUGUGUGUGGGGGAUAACAACCGGAAACAGUUGCUAAUACCGCAUGAUGUAUAAGAGUCGCAUGUCUUUUAUACCAAAGAUUUAUUGCACACAGAUGGAUUCGCGUCCGAUUAGAUAGUUGGUGAGGUAGCGGCCCACCAAGUCGACGAUCGGUAGCCGGACUGAGAGGUCGAACGGCCACAUUGGAACUGAGAAACGGUCCAGACUCCUACGGGAGGCAGCAGUGGGGAAUAUUGGGCAAUGGGCGAAAGCCUGACCCAGCGACGCCGCGUGAGGGAAGAAGGUUUUCGGAUUGUAAACUUCUGUCCUUGAUGAAAAGCAGUACAUGGUAAUCAAGGAGGAAGCCCCGGCUAACUACGUGCCAGCAGCCGCGGU